UUGAGGGAGGGCUGUUGUACGCGGUACCGCAGUACGCAGUAUUUCUCUCCACAGGGCUGUACUCGCGAUGCAGAACCCGUUCUUUUGCGACAUACGCUGGAAAAAAUACAAUAUAAUAUCAUCACUUAAAGGGCACACUCCAUUGAUUGGUUGAAGGCUUCCCGAGGCCCUGUGUUGCGUGAAAAGUACGCUGUAGUAUGAUUAUUAUUCUUCGUCCUUAAUCCGUUGACCCAUGGCCAAAAAGCACGGCCCAAGAAUGAAUGACUUCUCCUGCGCCGCCGCCGCCUCCAAAAGGUUGACGAACUUACCAGACGCUCAUGAUCCGCGUAUCGGGAACAACGAAAAGCG
rnacentral:sRNA from 2 species